rnacentral:lncRNA from 1 species
GCUGUUAUUAGGGAAUUGUCAUUAAGUACCUACAGAACAACCAUUAUUUCUAGUUUAUCCUGCACAAUGACGAUCACUAAGACGCUUGAUGAACGUAAAUAGUGGAGGGAUACAGGCGACCCCCUCUAUCUGGUAAAUGACGUCAUAAAGGCGCGUAUAAUUGACGAGUUUUUUCCGGUGACGGAUGAACUCGAAAGUGGUCUAUUGAAUAGAAACGACGACUGGAAAAAAUUCCAAAAACGUGAUGUCCCUCAAAAUACCGUUCUGACUCCACUCUCGAGGCCAACAAGCUUGCGACCAUUUGCAAUCAAAAUAAAUCCAGAACCCCCUAUUUGAACCUCCGGCGCUAUCAGUGUAUAGCUGGAUUGUCUCAUUUGAUGUCCAAAGCAAGUCUAGCAUGACAGAAACACCGUUAUACUAAUUUAAAAAGGAUGACCAAAUUUGCAAAUCAUCUUUCAUCUCAGACGAGACGCGAAUUCUAUGCCAAGCUUCCUUUACGUUGCAAGUUGCAUCAAUUAACCGACGGCAAAA